rnacentral:rRNA from 1 species
GCUCAGCGGGGAGGGUAUUGGAGACUGGCUAACUUGAAUACAAAAAAAGAGAGUGGACUUCCACGUGGAGCGGUGAAAUGCAUAGAAAUGUGGAGGAACACCAGUGGGCAACGCUACUCUCUGGUCUGUAACUGACGCUGAGGAACGAAAGCGUGGGGAGCGAACAGGAUUCCUGACCCUGGACGUCCACGCCGAAGACUAUGAGUGCUAAGUGUUUUACGGCUUUCGCCCUUUAGAGCUGCAAUUACCAUUACCCACUCCGACUGGGGAGCACGGCCGCAAGACUGAAACUCAAAGGAAUUGACGGGAGCCCGCACAAGAGGUGGAGCAUGUGGUUUAAUUCGAAGCAACUCAAAGAAUCUUGACAUCCUUUGACAUCCUAUGACUACCCUAUCUAUAGGGCUUCCCCUUCGGGGGCAGAGCGACGGGGGCUGCAUGGGUGUCGUCAGCUCGUGUUUAACAUGUUGGGAAAAGUCCCGCAACUAUUGCAUCCCUUUGAUCUUGUUGCCCUCAUUCGUGUGCGCACUCGAAAGCGACUGGAGGGGACAAACCACGACGAAUGAGCGGACCACUUCGAAUCGUCCUGCCCCUUAUCACCUGGGGCUACACAGAGGCUACAUAGGCACAAGAAAA